UCGUAACAAGGUUUCCGUAGGUGAACCUGCGGAAGGAUCAUUACCGAGUGCGGGCUGCCUCCGGGCGCCCAACCUCCCACCCGUGACUACCUAACACUGUUGCUUCGGCGGGGAGCCCCCCAGGGGGCGAGCCGCCGGGGACCACUGAACUUCAUGCCUGAGAGUGAUGCAGUCUGAGCCUGAAUACAAAUCAGUCAAAACUUUCAACAAUGGAUCUCUUGGUUCCGGCAUCGAUGAAGAACGCAGCGAACUGCGAUAAGUAAUGUGAAUUGCAGAAUUCAGUGAAUCAUCGAGUCUUUGAACGCACAUUGCGCCCCCUGGCAUUCCGGGGGGCAUGCCUGUCCGAGCGUCAUUGCUGCCCUCAAGCCCGGCUUGUGUGUUGGGUCGUCGUCCCCCCCCCGGGGGACGGGCCCGAAAGGCAGCGGCGGCACCGUGUCCGGUCCUCGAGCGUAUGGGGCUUUGUCACCCGCUCGAUUAGGGCCGGCCGGGCGCCAGCCGGCGUCUCCAACCUUAUUUUUCUCAGGUUGACCUCGGAUCAGGUAGGGAUACCCGCUGAACUUAAGCAUAUCAAU
rnacentral:misc_RNA from 1 species